AACAAAGGAACGGGAGUCCAGCUCUUUUCAGCACUGUGGCCCUGGCCUGUGACUUGCUUGAAGUCUCAACUUUCUCCAAAAAGACCCUCAAGCUUGGUAGUUUCUGUUCCAUCCCUGAAAUUAAGGCCACAAGCCAAAUAUAAGUAGAUAUCCGUAAUUAACACAAUAUUUGUCAGAAAUAGAAGGAAAAAUUAAUAAUAAAACUAUCAACAAAUUAUACCCUAUCACCUUUGCAGGGGAAAAGUGGGAAAUGCAAGAAGGGGAGUUCCAAAACCUCCGAUUCUUGAAAUUGUCACAGUUGGACUUUCGCUGGUCGGCCGCCUCUUCUGAUAAUUUUGUCUUGAGAAAUUGGUUUUGACUAUGUGUAAAUGGCUGGAAGAGGUCCCUUCUUGUUUAGGGGAAGCCCUCACUCUUGACAUGAUUGAGGUAAUAUGGUGUCCUGAGUCUGCAGUAAAUUCUGUGAAGCAAAUUUGGCAAGAGCAGAUGGAUAUGGGAAAUAAGGAUCUAAAGAUUGUUGCUGCUGCACGGAAUUGGUGAUGGUCCACGUUUUCUGCUAAGUGCCGACUCAGAAAGAGAGUCGAUCUCCUCUCAUCACAUUUUGCAAAAGCAGAGUGUGGUUCCACUUAUUAGAUUUGUGUGAUCCUUUCAACCAGCUGAGCACAAGCAUACAUGCCAGGUCCUCCAAGAAAGAGCAUCUGACUUUCAAACAGAUAUUGGAACUGUACUGCAAAGUUUUUGCCUGUUAAUUGUCAGGGUACUGCACAGGAGGACAACCAAAAUAAAACCACAGACUGCUGGAGCACGCAUGGAUGGCUUGAUAGCCUUCUUGCAUUACUGGCCUGGAACGGAUCCCUCAACUAGGGAAGUAUUUCUGAUGCUGGCAAGGUUCUUGAAUAGAAUAUUUCAACUGGAUGGAUCAGUCACUCGCCGGAGGCUUCAUCAGCUAUUGAAACUUCAUGCUCUCCCUGAUUGAUCUUGUUCUUGACAGAUAGUCUCUUCCUUCCAGCAUCGUAGCUCACUAGCUUGCUCAUCAUCUUAUAAGUUGUGUUUAAAACCUUUUCUUUUGCACCAUUCACAAGUAGCCAUCAAUGAAGCCUUCUACAAUCUCAUUUGGAAGGGGAUCAAGUGUUGCUGGUAGCUCAGACUUCGAAAGAGCAGCAAUACGAAUUCCAUUUGCUCUUAAUCAAAUGCAAAAUUACUAUUGUAAUCAAGUGUAAAAUGUUUAGACUGCAUUGUUUUGCUCUAAAGGAAAAAAAUCAUGCACCAAAUUGAAUUGGAUAGUAUAUUUUUCUCUCAGUAAUUAACUUGCAGUACGUGAUGAAGAUCUGAGUGGGAUAAGAAGGAUAAAAUUUAGAUUUUUUGUUUGUAUUAAAUAUGUUCUCAAUGAUGGACAAAUUGUAUUUUUGUUUAUAGUGAAUAUGAGUUUGAAUCCGUGUCUUGUUCAUCUA